rnacentral:rRNA from 1 species
AAUUUUCCGCAAUGGGCGCAAGCCUGACGGAGCGACGCCGCGUGAGGGAUGACAGCUUUCGGGUUGUAAACCUCUUUUAUUAAGGAAAAAGAUCUAUAUGCUAAUAACAUGUAGAUUUGAUGGUACUUAUUGAAUAAGCCCCGGCUAACUACGUGCCAGCAGCCGCGGUAAUACGUAGGGGGCGAGCGUUGUCCAGAGUUACUGGGCGUAAAGAGCGUGUAGGCGGUUGAAAAAGUCAGGUGUGAAAUUCUUCGGCUCCCCCGAGGGACUGCGCUUGAAACAUUUCGACUGGAGUUUGGGAGGGGCGAUCGGAAUUCCUGGUGUAACGGUGAAAUGUGUAGAUAUCAGGAGGAACACCCGUGGAGAAGGCGGGUUGAUGGACCAAAACUGACGCUGAGACGCGAAAGCGUGGGUAGCAAAC